rnacentral:rRNA from 1 species
GUGGGGAAUAUUGGACAAUGGGCGAAAGCCUGAUCCAGCCAUGCCGCGUGUGUGAAGAAGGUCUUCGGAUUGUAAAGCACUUUAAGUUGGGAGGAAGGGCAGUAAGUUAAUACCUUGCUGUUUUGACGUUACCGACAGAAUAAGCACCGGCUAACUUCGUGCCAGCAGCCGCGGUAAUACGAAGGGUGCAAGCGUUAAUCGGAAUUACUGGGCGUAAAGCGCGCGUAGGUGGUUUUGUAAGUUGGAGGUGAAAUCCCCGGGCUCAACCUGGGAACUGCCUCCAAAACUGCAUGACUAGAGUACGGUAGAGGGUAGUGGAAUUUCCUGUGUAGCGGUGAAAUGCGUAGAUAUAGGAAGGAACACCAGAGGCGAAGGCGACUACCUGGACUGAUACUGACACUGAGGUGCGAAAGCGUGGGGAGCAAACAGGAUUAGAAACCCGGGUAGUCC